ACUAACGCUGGCGGCGUGCCUAACACAUGCAAGUCGAACGAUUCUUUGAUUAUAGCAAUAUUAUUAAAGAGGAGUGGCGAACGGGUGAGUAACACGUAGAUAAUCUGCCUUCAGACGGGGACAACUCAGGGAAACUUGUGCUAAUACCCGAUGAGACCACAAGAAGGGAUUUUUGUGGCCAAAGGCGGGCAGCAAUGCUCGUGCUGAAAGAUGAGUCUGCGUCCUAUCAGCUAGUUGGUGGGGUAAAUGCCUACCAAGGCUAAGACGGGUAGCCGGCCUGAGAGGGUGAACGGCCACACUGGGACUGAGACACGGCCCAGACUCCUACGGGAGGCAGCAGUGAGGAAUUUUCCGCAAUGGGCGCAAGCCUGACGGAGCGACGCCGCGUGAGGGAUGACAGCUUUCGGGUUGUAAACCUCUUUUAUUAAGGAAAAAGAUCUAUAUGCUAAUAUCAUGUAGAUUUGAUGGUACUUAUUGAAUAAGCCCCGGCUAACUACGUGCCAGCCGCCGC
rnacentral:rRNA from 1 species